rnacentral:rRNA from 1 species
AGUAAUGAUUAACAGGGACAGUCAGGGGCACUCGUAUUCCGUCGAGAGAGGUGAAAUUCUCAGACCAAUGGAAGACGAACCACUGCGAAAGCAUUUGCCAGGGAUGUUUUCACUGAUCAAGAACGAAAGUUAGGGGAUCGAAGACGAUCAGAUACCGUCGUAGUCUUAACCAUAAACCAUGCCGACUAGGGAUUGGAGGGUGUUCGUUUCGACCUCUUCAGCACCUUACGGGAAACUAAAGUCUUUGGGUUCCGGGGGGAGUAUGGUCGCAAGGCUGAAACUUAAAGGAAUUGACGGAAGGGCACCACCAGGAGUGGA